rnacentral:rRNA from 1 species
UACGUAGGUCCCGAGCGUUGUCCGGAUUUAUUGGGCGUAAAGGGAGCGUAGGCGGGCUUUUAAGUGAGAUGUGAAAUACUCGGGCUCAACUUGAGUGCUGCAUUUCAAACUGGAAGUCUAGAGUGCAGGAGAGGAGAAUGGAAUUCCUAGUGUAGCGGUGAAAUGCGUAGAGAUUAGGAAGAACACCAGUGGCGAAGGCGAUUCUCUGGACUGUAACUGACGCUGAGGCUCGAAAGCGUGGGGAGCAAACAGG